CAACAAGAACUUGUACAGAAGUGCUUUACCAGCCAAGUAACCCAUAAACUAGCUGUCAAAACUAUCAAAACAGCUUGAAUGCUUGAGAAGGCCUUUGAAAUUCUCUAUGAAGUUAGAAGGUAUGAAAAAUUACUAUAUGCAAGGCAAGAGUACAUGUUUAAAGUUCAUUAUUUAAAAGAGAACAUUUGAAGAGAAGAUCAGUGGAGAAGCUUUGCUUUGUAUGGGGGCUACAAGUAGAACCGUGAGCCACAGAGCCCACAAGGAAAGGUUGAUCGACAUUGUCAAAUGUUAUGUGAAAGUCAUGGAUUAACAUAUCACAGCAACAAAAUACAUGAUCUGGAGGUUGACAUUCUGGCCCAGAAAGUCCUGAAACACAGCUGAACAGCUGUCUGACUCAGCCGCUAGCGUCAAUCAGAACCAGCGAUGUCCUCUGGAAACACCUAACAAUGACCAGGCCCCACGAUGUUCUUGGAUGGCUGAAAAGUUCUCCUCAAAACACUUAUUAAAUAAUUUGAAAAUACUAAAGCAAACACAAAUAAGUAUUUAAAAUGUAACUAAUCUGACAUACACUUUGUGGCCACUUUAUUAGGUACAUUUGUACACGUGCUCAUUAAUGAAAAUAUCUAAUCAGCCAGACAUGUGGGAACAAUCAGCGCAUAAAAGCAUGCAGACGUAGUCAAAACAAUCAGUUCUUGUUCAGAGCAAACAUCAGAAUGCGGAAGAAAUGUGAUCUAAGUUACUUUUACCUUGUUGGUGCAAUCACACACAGCAUAGUACAUUUUAAAUUGUCCCAUGCAGCCCUAAAGAUUUAAUCACUGUGGAGGGUUUAGUACACUUGUGGGAUAACGUCUUUCCUGACCAGGAGGUCAGUGCUUUGCAGGUGAGACUUGUGGCUGUGAAACAAUUUCAGGUUCUGGUGCCUCCCUGUGGUAGUUGUAGGAAUUGACUCUGGGACUGUAAGAAGUUGUUCUGAAACCUCUUGAAUUCCUUUCUUCUGGACGCGAUGGCAACCUGAACAGUGCAAGGCAAGCUGUUCAAUCAGAACGGCUACCAGACUAAGCUUCAAGCCAAUGCUUUUAUUCUGACUAUGCUUAGGUGACUGGCAGGUACUGUAGCUCCUACAACAUGUGUGUACCUCCUCCAACAUGUCAGCUCUCAGUUCUGAUGGCACUGCAACUCUCAGUCCCCACAUAAGGCAACCUCCGUCAAGGGCAAGUUCAUCUAGUGCUGCUAAAAAGGAGUAAACUGGAGCUUCUGCUGCACAUUCCAGCCAUUUGGGUAGCCACGUAGGCCUGAGAAAGUGUCGGUCUUUCUAGUUUCCCUUUAGAAAUCUCUGUCAUAACAGGGAGACUAUUGAUUUGUGUUGAGAGAAUACGUCAAGAGGAGAGUCCCCUUUGGUAAAUUUUUCAAGUAUUACCUUUUCCAAGGGUAAACGGGACAAUCAAUCAGCAUUUCCAUGAUUAGUCAUCCUCUUGAAUUCAAUCUUAUAAUUGUGUCCUCCAAGAAACAGGUCCCAUCUCUCAAUUCAUGCUGCUGUUGUUAGUGAACCAUGCUUCUGUGGUUUGAAAAUGGACACUAGUGGCUGAUGAGGGUAAUGAAGGUAAACUCUCUCCCAUCAAAGUACUGAUUGAAACAUUUAACACCCCAAACCAGACUCAAACAGACUGUCAAUCUGUGAGCAAUUUUUCUUUGCAGCAAUAAGGGAAUGUGGCGCAAAGGCUCUGGGACGUUCACUUCCCUCACUAUUAACAUGAGACAUGACGGCACCUGUACAAUAGGUGAGGCACCACAGGCAAGCUUCACUGGACAACGUGGAUCAGAAUGUGCGAGUACAGUGUCCGAUUUCACCAUUUCCUUUACCCGUGUGAAAGCCACCUCACAUUGCUUUGUCCAGUCCUGUUCCUUCCCAAUCUUUAGUAAUGAUUAGCCAGGUUUCCCAGGAACCUGUUGUAGUAAUUGACAAAUCCUAAAAAGGACCCCAAUUGUGACAUGUCCUUUGGCCUUGGGACAAAAGGCCUUUACCAUUGCUUGAAUUUUUACUGCACACUUGUGUAAUCUUUGAAUGUCAAUGGUAUGACCACUGUAAGUAAGGCUUGGUUUAAAGAAUUCACUUGAUGCCUUGUGCUCUGAGCCCAUAUUCUACUGAUCUUAUCAACUCUGCCGUUCAUUCUUUGGGGCACUUCUCUGUUUUAUAUGAUGUUUGCAAAGAAAAAAGCAUUUCAGGAUGUAUAUUGUAUACAUUUCUCUGACAUUAGAUUUGACCUUUGAACUGUCUUGAGAUUUUGUAGAUGUUCUUCCUCAUCCUUACCAGUAACGCUAUGCCAUCCACAUAACACUGAGUGCCUGUGGAGUUCAUAGCAGGUGCAGAUGCUGCUUCAAAAAUAAACCUAUUAUAGUGAUAAAUCCCUUUGUGAGACACACUUUGGACUCUUCUUCCAUCUCCAUCUGCAGGCAGGCCUCAGCUAGGUCCACUUUGCUGAAGAGUUUUCCUCCAGAAAGGUUUGCAAAGAUAUCCUCUAUCCUGGGCAGAGUGUGUUGAUCUACUUUCAGUACUGGAUUAAUGGUGGUGACCUUAAAAACACCACAGAUCCUGAUAGAUCCAUUCUUCUUGGUUACUGGGACAACUAGUGUCACUCAUUGAUUCUACUCCAUCUUGGAAAGAAUCCCUUCAGUCUCCAUGUGAUCUAGCUCACUGGCUACUUUAUUAUAGAUGGUAUAAGGACCCAGAUGGGCUUGGUAAAACUUGGAUGUGGUAUUUUCAUUUCACACUAUUUUGUCCUUGAUAUGUUUGAGGUUUCCAAUGCCAUCCAAGAACAUCAGGCAUCACCCAGUACCUUUCUUCAUUUGGUUUCAGUUGACUCUUUUGAGGGAAUGUGGCAUUAAGUAGUGUGUAGAUCUUCAAUCAAGUUGUUGUUAUCUCAGCCAAUCACAACUCACCAUGCUGUCCUUUCCAUUUUUACCACAUACAAGCCCAAUGUGGUGUGUUGGUUGUUGUAUUUCACUGUUACAAAUGUCAUUCCCACAGCAGUUAUCAUUUCUCCCGUAUAAGUUCUUAGUUAGGUAUCUGCAGGCUUUAGUUUCUUUGCAAUGCCAUUCAAACUGAUUUUGUGGAAUGAUUCAAACAGUUGAGCAAGUGUCCAUUUCCAUUUUAAUUAAUUUGCCAUUCACUCUGGUGUAAGCCAUAUUGCUUGUCUCCUGUUGGUCUCCAUAUUAUAAGUCUCAAGGCUACUCAGUCCUGUGUCAUUCUCGUCAUUAUCAGAUUUUCCAUCAACAGCAUGCAGAUUAGUGAUCCUUUUGAAAUGGUAACAUGGCUUUUUUAUUUUUUUCUCUUCUCUGUAUAGUCCAUUAGUUUUUGUCUGCCCGACAUGCUCUUUGUUGAAUUUUCUGCAAGUUUUGCUUUUAAACCUAUAUUUGCCUGGUGUAUGUGAUCCCCGGUCUCACUAGUUGUUUGACUAGGCCAGUUUCUGACUUUAGACAUUGCAAUUUCACUUUUAUUCCUGACUGCAACUCAAUCACACCUCUGUUUGCUGUUUCUAUCAAUACAGUGAUUUUAACCGCUUUUUUAAAAUGUGAGUUGUGCUUCAGUUAGGAGCCGUUUAUAAAUGCAAACACAAACUAAGCAAUCUCUCAGUGCAUCAUUAUGCUCACUACUGAACUGACAAGGCUCAGACAAUUUGUUCAAUUCGGCCAAGUACGUUGAAAUGGACUGCCCUUCCUUUGGAUUCCACUUAUUAUAACUAAAGCGUUCUGCAAUCAACAAUGGUUUUGGUUCUAGACAUUCCUGCAUUACUUUCACAAUAUCAGCAAAGUUAAUUCUGUAGAAAAUAGAGCAGAAAAACCGGCACUCACUUUUCAUUGGCUAUUUCAUUUGCUUCAAAAUACUGCCCAAUUCAUUCAUAAUACACCCCCAGUUACAUAUUAUGCAAUUUAAUGUGCCUAUCUUUCUGAUGUAGACAGCCAUUUGUGCUUUCUUUUUAUUUAUUAUUAUCAGCCAGUUCUCACUGUUCCUGAACUCAUGAAUUUUGUCUGCGAUUGUUUUUAACUUACCCAUCUUCGUCCCCUCUGAAGUUAAAAAAAAACACAUCUUUCUGCACUUACAACAGGCAGAGUUUUCUCAGAUUCAUUUAAAACUUCUUUGUUGCCUCUAUUGUGUCUUGUAACUUCAAAACAUAAAACUAAUGAAAAGAAAAACAUGGAGCUGGGAGAUAACUUGCGUACAUUUAGUUUCUCAUUAGUGAGGAAUUCAAAUAUGAUGUGGUGGUGUAAUGACAUGUCAUUCACAUACCUUUACAUCUAACCCUAAAAUAAUGUAAACAACAAAGAAAGCUUAAUGAAACAAUAUUACUGAAAGAUUAGGUAUACAACACAGAGAAUGGUGAAAAAAACCCCAAAGAGUGGCACUUCUGAGAGCAUAAACACCUUGUUAAUGAGCGAGGUCAGAGAAGAAUGGCCAGGCUGGUUCAAGCCGACAGUAAUCAACAGAAGCUCAAAUACAGGUUUCUGAAUGCACAACACAUUAAAACUUGAAGUGGAUGGUUUGCAGCAGCAGGUUCCACUCCUGUACCUAAUAAAGUGGCCACUGACUGCAUCUGUCUUGAGAUCCAUAAAUGAAUGGACUCAUCAGGUCUAAUUGGCUCAAAGUCCAAAUGCAUUUUUCCCAGAAUUAGUGCUAGGAAAUUCAGCAAGCUGCUGUUGUGCCAGUGGACAACUGUGCAGAAUCCAAUGGCAAAACACAAGCAGGAUCCAGUAAUGAAUAAUUCACUGUGUAUAUUUCCAAAGCAAUAUUUUAAAAAUGUAUAUAUUUUAUUUAUCUAUAGUAUAUUAAAUCUAGUUUGAUAAUUGAUCAAAAAAUGUUGGGUUAGUGAACCAUGGUGGUUAUAUUUGAAAUAACUAAGAAACAUGUAGAUAUAGCAGGCGUUCUGAACUUUUUUUAAAAUAAUGUCAAAAUGAAGAUUACAGGGUUUAAUGGGAAGUUUGGCUUUUUAAAAUGAAUGAAAGCAAGUUACAACACACAAGCAAGAACACUUCAUUGUUAAAAACAACUGAUUUUUGAGACAUUUUAAAACUGCAUUUAUGCAUAUCUUGUUCCAAUUUAAUGCUUUCAAAUAUACAAUUACAAUAAGACAACGUGGGCCAAUUUUCAUCCCACUACUGCCUCAGGUAAACUUACAAACACAGUAAUGAAGGGAUGUAAUCAGCAGCAAACUUCUAUACUGGUUUAUGCCUCCUUUCCAAGCAAUUACUACAACAUUUUUAUCCCGGGCCAAAUGCUAUUAGAAUGACAGAGCCUGAGUUAGAGGGAAAGGUUGACCAGGCUGGGUCUUUAAUGCUUGGAAUAUAGAAGAAUGAAGGGAGACUUCAUAGGUAUGUUUAAAGUUAUGAGAGCCCUAGCUAAGGUAGAUAGUAACUGUCUUUUCCGCUGGGUAGCAGAGUCCAAAACUUUGAGUAUUGAUGUAUGGUGAAAGGGGAAGUUUUAUAAGGCACUUGUUUGGACUCUGGUCUAUUCCAGGGUUGGCUAGUAGGGGCACACGUUUUUCAGAACUGAUUGGACUCUCACAUCAUUGGCUGCACAUGCUCCCAAUUAAUACCUGUGUAUUUAAACUCUGCUUCCUGGCUCUUACUUUGCUCAGUCUUAAAGUAUGAUCUUGUAAGUAGCAAGAGCCUUGGUUUGUGUUUUUUUUUAAAUGUCUGCUUGCUGCCUACAUUUCUGGAACUUAUUUGCUCACUAAGAUCUUAGAUUACUCUACUGCAAUUGCACAUUAACCUCUUGCUUUUUUAAUAAAUUCUUUAUACUUCUGGAAA